rnacentral:rRNA from 1 species
UCAUGGCUCAGGAUGAACGCUAGCUACAGGCUUAACACAUGCAAGUCGAGGGGUAGCAGGGUAGCAAUACCGCUGACGACCGGCGCACGGGUGAGUAACACGUAUCCAACCUUCCCAUAACUCAGGGAUAGCCUUUCGAAAGAAAGAUUAAUACCUGAUAGUACUUUUUCAAGGCAUCUUGAGAAAGUUAAAGAUUUAUUGGUUAUGGAUGGGGAUGCGUUCCAUUAGAUAGUUGGUGAGGUAACGGCUCACCAAGUCUUCGAUGGAUAGGGGUUCUGAGAGGAAGGUCCCCCACAUUGGUACUGAGACACGGACCAAACUCCUACGGGAGGCAGCAGUGAGGAAUAUUGGUCAAUGGGCGAGAGCCUGAACCAGCCAAGUAGCGUGAAGGAAUGAAGGUCCUAUGGAUUGUAAACUUCUUUUAUAGUAGAAUAAAGUGAUCCACGUGUGGAUUUUUGUAUGUAUACUAUGAAUAAGGAUCGGCUAACUCCGUGCCAGCCGCCGC